rnacentral:rRNA from 1 species
UACGGAGGGGGCUAGCGUUGCUCGGAAUUACUGGGCGUAAAGGGCGCGUAGGCGGAUGUCUAAGUUGGGGGUGAAAUCCCGGGGCUCAACCUCGGAACAGCCUUCAAUACUGGAUAUCUUGAGUUCGGGAGAGGUGAGUGGAAUGCCGAGUGUAGAGGUGAAAUUCGUAGAUAUUCGGCGGAACACCAGUGGCGAAGGCGACUCACUGGCCCGAUACUGACGCUGAGGCGCGAAAGCGUGGGGAGCGAACAGG